GAUGAAGAACGUAGCGAAAUGCGAUAAGUAGUGUGAAUUGCAGAAUUCAGUGAAUCAUCGAAUCUUUGAACGCACAUUGCGGCCAUAGGUAUUCCUUUAGCCAUGCCUGUUCGAGCGUCAUUUACACCCUCAAGCCUAGCUUGGUGUUGGGCGUCUGUCCCGCCGUUCUCGCGCGCGGACUCGCCUCAAAGUCAUUGGCGGCGGUCGUGCCGGCCCCCUCGCGCAGCACAUUUGCGCUUCUUGGAGGCCCGGCGGAUCCGCGCUCCAGCAAGACCUUUCACGACUUGACCUCGGAUCAGGUAGGGAUACCCGCUGAACUUAAGCAUAUCAAUAAGCGGAGGA
rnacentral:misc_RNA from 1 species